AUGAAUGAAUGAAUGAAUGAAUGAAUGAAUGACAAAAUUUUUUUUUUACUCUCUAAGUACCUUGUAGGCUCAACCUGUAUUUUUCAAGUAUGCCUGCUCAAAAUUAAGACCUCAAUCCACAAAAAAGGCACUGAAUCUCCAGUAAUUGGAGAGGGAAAAAGAAGAAGUGGAAGACGAGACAAAUAUCACAGUACCUUUUGAAGUCAAAUCACCUCUAUACAGCUGUUUCCCAUGCCUAUUGUCCCACAGAGACUAAUUUUGGAUAUUGUUUCCACAAUACCUGAUGACUUUCGGCUCUGUCGUAACUGCUGUUCCUUUUCUACUGUGCAUCCUUUCUACAACUAACUCUUGGGAUCUUAGCAUGGUGCUUCUCAUGGAGAAAGUCACCUGCCCUGUGUAGUAACUGAGGCAUUAGUACUGCCUAGUCUUUGGACGACUCUUCUAACAGUAUCUAGAGGUAUGUGGCCAUAAAUCAAUUCUGGCAGCACGAGAAUGGGCUAGAAA